CAACUUUUGACAACGGAUCUCUUGGCUCUCGCAACGAUGAAGAACGCAGCGAAAUGCGAUACGUAGUGUGAAUUGCAGAGACUCGUGAAUCAUUGAAUCUUUGAACGCAGCUUGCGCCCGCAAGGGCAUGUAUGUUUGAGAGUCACUAGUAUUC
rnacentral:rRNA from 1 species